GACGAACCGUGCGAACGUUAUUCGGAAUCAUUGGGCUUAAAGGGCGCGUAGGCGGGCGACCGCGUCGAGUGCUGAAAUCCCCCGGCUCAACCGGGGAAGGGGCCUCGAAACGGGUCGCCUCGAGGCGAGGAGGGGGACCUGGAACGUCCGGUGGAGCGGUGAAAUGCGUUGAGAUCGGACGGAACACCAACGGCGAAAGCAAGGUCCUGGACUCGUACUGACGCUGAGGCGCGAAAGCCAGGGGAGCGAACGGG
rnacentral:rRNA from 2 species